GAGGUUGAUCAUGGCUCAGGACGAACGCUGGCGGCGUGCUUAACACAUGCAAGUCGAACGAUGAAGCCUAGCUUGCUAGGUGGAUUAGUGGCGAACGGGUGAGUAAUACGUGAGUGACCUACCUUUGACUCUGGGAUAAGCCUGGGAAACUGGGUCUAAUACCGGAUACGACCAAUCUCCGCAUGGGGUGUUGGUGGAAAGCGUUAUGGAGUGGUUUUAGAUGGGCUCACGGCCUAUCAGCUUGUUGGUGAGGUAAUGGCUUACCAAGGCGACGACGGGUAGCCGGCCUGAGAGGGUGACCGGCCACACUGGGACUGAGACACGGCCCAGACUCCUACGGGAGGCAGCAGUGGGGAAUAUUGCACAAUGGGCGCAAGCCUGAUGCAGCGACGCCGCGUGAGGGAUGACGGCCUUCGGGUUGUAAACCUCUGUUAGCAUCGAAGAAGCGAAAGUGACGGUAGGUGCAGAGAAAGCGCCGGCUAACUACGUGCCAGCAGCCGCGGUAAUACGUAGGGCGCGAGCGUUGUCCGGAAUUAUUGGGCGUAAAGAGCUUGUAGGCGGUUGGUCGCGUCUGCUGUGAAAGGCUGGGGCUUAACCCUGGUUUUGCAGUGGGUACGGGCUAACUAGAGUGCAGUAGGGGAGACUGGAAUUCCUGGUGUAGCGGUGGAAUGCGCAGAUAUCAGGAGGAACACCGAUGGCGAAGGCAGGUCUCUGGGCUGUAACUGACGCUGAGAAGCGAAAGCAUGGGGAGCGAACAGGAUUAGAUACCCUGGUAGUCCAUGCCGUAAACGUUGGGCACUAGGUGUGGGGGACAUUCCACGUUUUCCGCGCCGUAGCUAACGCAUUAAGUGCCCCGCCUGGGGAGUACGGCCGCAAGGCUAAAACUCAAAGAAAUUGACGGGGGCCCGCACAAGCGGCGGAGCAUGCGGAUUAAUUCGAUGCAACGCGAAGAACCUUACCAAGGCUUGACAUAUACUGGACUGCGUCAGAGAUGGCGUUUCCCUUCGGGGCUGGUAUACAGGUGGUGCAUGGUUGUCGUCAGCUCGUGUCGUGAGAUGUUGGGCUAAGUCCCGCAACGAGCGCAACCCUUGUCUUAUGUUGCCAGCACAUUUUUGGUGGGGACUCAUGAGAAACUGCCGGGGUCAACUCGGAGGAAGGUGGGGAUGACGUCAAAUCAUCAUGCCCUUUAUACCCAGGGCUUCACACAUGCUACAAUGGUCGGUACAACGGGUUGCGACACUGUGAAGUGAAGCUAAUCUCUCAAAGCCGGCCUCAGUUCGGAUUGGGGUCUGCAACUCGACCCCAUGAAGUCGGAGUCGCUAGUAAUCGCAGAUCAGCAACGCUGCGGUGAAUACGUUCCCGGGCCUUGCACACACCGCCCGUC
rnacentral:rRNA from 1 species